rnacentral:rRNA from 1 species
CGAGUGGCGGACGGGUGAGUAAUGUCUGGGAAACUGCCUGAUGGAGGGGGAUAACUACUGGAAACGGUAGCUAAUACCGCAUAACGUCGCAAGACCAAAGAGGGGGGCCUUCGGGCCUCUUGCCAUCGGAUGUGCCCAGAUGGGAUUAGCUAGUAGGUGGGGUAACGGCUCACCUAGGCGACGAUCCCUAGCUGGUCUGAGAGGAUGACCAGCCACACUGGAACUGAGACACGGUCCAGACUCCUACGGGAGGCAGCAUG